GGGUUGUGAGGUUAAGCGACUAAGCGUACACGGUGGAUGCCCUGGCAGUCAGAGGCGAUGAAGGACGUGCUAAUCUGCGAAAAGCGUCGGUAAGGUGAUAUGAACCGUUAUAGCCGGCGAUGUCCGAAUGGGGAAACCCAGUGCAAUUCGUUGCACUAUCGUUAACUGAAUACAUAGGUUAACGAGGCGAACCGGGGGAACUGAAACAUCUAAGUACCCCGAGGAAAAGAAAUCAACCGAGAUUCCCCCAGUAGCGGCGAGCGAACGGGGAGCAGCCCAGAGUCUGAAUCAGCUUGUGUGUUAGUGGAACGGUCUGGAAAGUCCGACGGUACAGGGUGAUAGUCCCGUACACCAAAAUGCACAGGUUGUGAACUCGAAGAGUAGGGCGGGACACGUGGUAUCCUGUCUGAAUAUGGGGGGACCAUCCUCCAAGGCUAAAUACUCCUGACUGACCGAUAGUGAACCAGUACCGUGAGGGAAAGGCGAAAAGAACCCCGGCGAGGGGAGUGAAAAAGAACCUGAAACCGUGUACGUACAAGCAGUGGGAGCACCUUCGGGUGUGACUGCGUACCUUUUGUAUAAUGGGUCAGCGACUUAUAUUCUGUAGCAAGGUUAACCGUAUAGGGGAGCCGCAGGGAAACCGAGUCUUAACUGGGCGUUAAGUUGCAGGGUAUAGACCCGAAACCCGGUGAUCUAGCCAUGGGCAGGUUGAAGGUUGGGUAACACUAACUGGAGGACCGAACCGACUAAUGUUGAAAAAUUAGCGGAUGACUUGUGGCUGGGGGUGAAAGGCCAAUCAAACCGGGAGAUAGCUGGUUCUCCCCGAAAGCUAUUUAGGUAGCGCCUCGUGAACUCAUCUUCGGGGGUAGAGCACUGUUUCGGCUAGGGGGUCAUCCCGACUUACCAACCCGAUGCAAACUACGAAUACCGAAGAAUGUUAUCACGGGAGACACACGGCGGGUGCUAACGUCCGUCGUGAAGAGGGAAACAACCCAGACCGCCAGCUAAGGUCCCAAAGUCAUGGUUAAGUGGGAAACGAUGUGGGAAGGCACAGACAGCCAGGAUGUUGGCUUAGAAGCAGCCAUCAUUUAAAGAAAGCGUAAUAGCUCACUGGUCGAGUCGGCCUGCGCGGAAGAUGUAACGGGGCUAAACCAUGCACCGAAGCUGCGGCAGCGACACUAUGUGUUGUUGGGUAGGGGAGCGUUCUGUAAGCCUGCGAAGGUGACCUGUGAGGGUUGCUGGAGGUAUCAGAAGUGCGAAUGCUGACAUAAGUAACGAUAAAGCGGGUGAAAAGCCCGCUCGCCGGAAGACCAAGGGUUCCUGUCCAACGUUAAUCGGGGCAGGGUGAGUCGACCCCUAAGGCGAGGCCGAAAGGCGUAGUCGAUGGGAAACAGGUUAAUAUUCCUGUACUUGGUGUUACUGCGAAGGGGGGACGGAGAAGGCUAUGUUAGCCGGGCGACGGUUGUCCCGGUUUAAGCAUGUAGGCUGGUUAUCCAGGCAAAUCCGGAUAAUCAAGGCUGAGGUGUGAUGACGAGGCACUACGGUGCUGAAGUAACAAAUGCCCUGCUUCCAGGAAAAGCCUCUAAGCAUCAGGUAACAUCAAAUCGUACCCCAAACCGACACAGGUGGUCAGGUAGAGAAUACCAAGGCGCUUGAGAGAACUCGGGUGAAGGAACUAGGCAAAAUGGUGCCGUAACUUCGGGAGAAGGCACGCUGGUGUGUAGGUGAAGUCCCUGCGGAUGGAGCUGAGACCAGUCGAAGAUACCAGCUGGCUGCAACUGUUUAUUAAAAACACAGCACUGUGCAAACACGAAAGUGGACGUAUACGGUGUGACGCCUGCCCGGUGCCGGAAGGUUAAUUGAUGGGGUUAUCCGUAAGGAGAAGCUCUUGAUCGAAGCCCCGGUAAACGGCGGCCGUAACUAUAACGGUCCUAAGGUAGCGAAAUUCCUUGUCGGGUAAGUUCCGACCUGCACGAAUGGCGUAAUGAUGGCCAGGCUGUCUCCACCCGAGACUCAGUGAAAUUGAACUCGCUGUGAAGAUGCAGUGUACCCGCGGCAAGACGGAAAGACCCCGUGAACCUUUACUAUAGCUUGACACUGAACAUUGAGCCUUGAUGUGUAGGAUAGGUGGGAGGCUUUGAAGCGUGGACGCCAGUCUGCGUGGAGCCAACCUUGAAAUACCACCCUUUAAUGUUUGAUGUUCUAACGU
rnacentral:rRNA from 1 species